rnacentral:tRNA from 1 species
GCCUUCGUGGUGUAGUGGUCAGCACGAUCGGUGUGUAUUCGAGAGGUCCAUGGUUCGAAUCCCGGCGAGGGCA